rnacentral:rRNA from 1 species
AUUGAACGCUGGCGGCAGGCCUAACACAUGCAAGUCGAACGAGAGGCGGACGGGUGAGUAAUGUCUGGGAACCUGCCCGAUGGAGGGGGCUAACUACUGGAAACGGUAGCUAAUACCGCAUCCCAUCGGAUGUGCCCAGAUGGGAUUAGCUUGUAGGUGAGGUAACGGCUCACCUAGGCGACGAUCCCUAGCUGGUCUGAGAGGAUGACCAGCCACACUGGAAUGGAGACACGGUCCAGACUCCUACGGGAGGCAGCAGUGGGGAAUAUUGCACAAUGGGCGCAAGUGUGAUGAAGCCAUGCCGCGUGUAUGAAGAAGGCCUUAGGGUUGUAAAGUACUUUCAGCUGGGAGGCGUUACCCGCAGAAGAAGCACCGGCUAACUCCGUGCCAGCAGCCGCGGUAAUAC